rnacentral:rRNA from 1 species
UGCGAAAGCGUGGGGAGCAAACAGGAUUAGAUACCUGGUAGUCACGCUGUAAACGAUGUCGAUUUGGAGGUUGUUCCCUUGAGGAGUGGCUUCCGGAGCUAACGCGUUAAAUCGACCGCCUGGGGAGUACGGCCGCAAGGUUAAAACUCAAAUGAAUUGACGGGGGCCCGCACAAGCGGUGGAGCAUGUGGUUUAAUUCGAUGCAACGCGAAGAACCUUACCUACUCUUGACAUCCAGAGAAUUUAGCAGAGAUGCUUUAGUGCCUUCGGGAACUCUGAGACAGGUGCUGCAUGGCUGUCGUCAGCUCGUGUUGUGAAAUGUCGGGUUAAGUCCCGCAACGAGCGCAACCCUUAUCCUUUGUUGCCAGCACAUUAUGGUGGGAACUCAAAGGAGACUGCCGGUGAUAAACCGGAGGAAGGUGGGGAUGACGUCAAGUCAUCAUGGCCCUUACGAGUAGGGCUACACACGUGCUACAAUGGCGUAUACAAAGAGAAGCGACCUCGCGAGAGCAAGCGGAACUCAUAAAGUACGUCGUAGUCCGGAUUGGAGUCUGCAACUCGACUCCAUGAAGUCGGAAUCGCUAGUAAUCGUAGAUCAGAAUGCUACGGUGAAUACGUUCCCGGGCCUUGUACACACCGCCCGUCACACCAUGGGAGUGGGUUGCAAAAGAAGUAGGUAGCUUAACCUUCGGGAGGGCGCUUACCACUUUGUGAUUCAUGACUGGGGUGAAGUCGUAACAAGGUAACCA